UGGGUUUAAAGGGAGCGUAGGCUGGAGAUUAAGUGUGUUGUGAAAUGUAGACGCUCAACGUCUGACUUGCAGCGCAUACUGGUUUCCUUGAGUACGCACAACGUUGGCGGAAUUCGUCGUGUAGCGGUGAAAUGCUUAGAUAUGACGAAGAACUCCGAUUGCGAAGGCAGCUGACGGGAGCGCAACUGACGCUUAAGCUCGAAGGUGCGGGUAUCAAACAGGAUUAGAUACCCUGGUAGUCCGCACAGUAAACGAUGGAUGCCCGCUGUUGGUACCUGGUAUCAGCGGCUAAGCGAAAGCAUUAAGCAUCCCACCUGGGGAGUACGCCGGCAACGGUGAAACUCAAAGGAAUUGACGGGGGCCCGCACAAGCGGAGGAACAUGUGGUUUAAUUCGAUGAUACGCGAGGAACCUUACCCGGGCUUGAAUUGCAGAGGAAGGAUUUAGAGAUAAUGACGCCCUUCGGGGUCUCUGUGAAGGUGCUGCAUGGUUGUCGUCAGCUCGUGUCGUGAG
rnacentral:rRNA from 1 species